rfam:Triticum aestivum genome assembly, contig: Triticum_aestivum_CS42_TGACv1_scaffold_374053_5AL
UAUAUACUCCCACCGUCCGAAAAAGCUCGUCCCUCAAAUGAAUGUAUCUAGCAUCAAGUUAGUGCUAGAUACGUCCAUUUGAGGAACAAGCUUUUUGGGACGGAGGGAGUAUCAG